UACGUAGGGGGCAAGCGUUGUCCGGAAUCACUGGGCGUAAAGGGCGCGUAGGCGGCCAUUCAAGUCAGAGGUGAAAGCCCAAGGCUCAACCUUGGAACUGCCUUUGAUACUGUUUGGCUUGAGACCGGUAGAGGUAAGUGGAACUGCGAGUGUAGAGGUGAAAUUCGUAGAUAUUCGCAAGAACACCAGUGGCGAAGGCGGCUUACUGGACCGGUUCUGACGCUGAGGCGCGAAAGCGUGGGGAGCAAACAGG
rnacentral:rRNA from 1 species